rnacentral:rRNA from 1 species
AGCGUAGACGGAUGGACAAGUCUGAUGUGAAAGGCUGGGGCUCAACCCCGGGACUGCAUUGGAAACUGCCCGUCUUGAGUGCCGGAGAGGUAAGCGGAAUUCCUAGUGUAGCGGUGAAAUGCGUAGAUAUUAGGAGGAACACCAGUGGCGAAGGCGGCUUACUGGACGGUAACUGACGUUGAGGCUCGAAAGCGUGGAGAGCAAACA